AACGUAGGACACAAGCGUUAUCCGGAAUUACUGGGCGUAAAGGGUGCGCAGGCGGUUAUAUAAGACAGAUGUGAAAUCCCCGGGCUCAACCUGGGAACUGCGUUUGUGACUGUAUGACUAGAGUACGGUAGAGAGGGGUGGAAUUCCUGGUGUAGCAGUGAAAUGCGUAGAUAUCAGGAGGAACAUCGAUGGCGAAGGCAGCCUUCUGGGCCAACACUGACGCUCAUGCACGAAAGCGUGGGGAGCAAACAGG
rnacentral:rRNA from 1 species